rfam:Triticum aestivum genome assembly, contig: Triticum_aestivum_CS42_TGACv1_scaffold_485605_6AS
UAAAUGUCUGGAAAUACUUGUCAUCAAAAUGAAUAAAAAGAGAUGUAUCUAAAAUUAAAAUACAUCUAGAUACGACCCCUUUUAUCCAUUUUGAUGACAAGUAUUUCCGGACGUAUGGAGUACAAG